rnacentral:rRNA from 1 species
UAUCCUGGCUCAGGAUAAACGACUGGCGGCGCACAUAAGACAUGCAAGUCGAACGAACUUAAUACCUUGCUUGCAAGGUAAGCGGUUAGUGGCGGACUGGUGAGUAACACGUAAGAAAUCUGCCUAUCAGAGGGGAAUAACAGUGAGAAAUCACUGCUAAUACCGCAUAUGCCAUAGUCAUCGCAUGAUGAUAGUGGGAAAGAAGCAAUUCGCUGAUAGAUGAGCUUGCGGCUGAUUAGCUAGUUGGUGGGGUAACGGCCUACCAAGGCGACGAUCAGUAGCCGGACUGAGAGGUUGAACGGCCACAUUGGGACUGAGAUACGGCCCAGACUCCUACGGGAGGCAGCAGUCGGGAAUAUUGCGCAAUGGAGGCAACUCUGACGCAGUGACGCCGCGUAUAGGAAGAAGGUUUUCGGAUUGUAAACUAUUGUCCUCAGGGAAGAAAAAAGACUGUACCCGAGAAGAAAGCUCCGGCUAACUACGUG